rnacentral:tRNA from 1 species
UGUUCUGUGGUGGAGUUGGCCAACGCGCCCUGUCUAUCGAACUAAAGGAGACGUGGAUUCAAACCCCACCAGACCAA